UGAAAGCAUUGAUAAUAAUAGAGAGGAAAAAAUACUGCAACACCCCCAAUUGACGCUUGCUCCUUUCGUUUUCGUCUCCAAAAUUUUUGAAAAUUUCAGUGUGUGCAUUUUUCAAAAUUUGGAGGGUCUCUUCCCUUUAAAAUUUCGCGCUCCAAGUUUAUGGACUCAGUGGCCAUGGCUUCUGGAGCUGAGGAGGGGGAGGACUGGGAGCUCCGCCAUGAUGACGAUGGCUUUACCUACAAGAUCCUCAAGCGCCGUCGUCUCCUCGACUCAACUGCCGCUGCUCAAUCUCCUCUGCCGGACCCCAUGGCCGAUGAGAGGCAUCGGAGACAACGAAAGAGAAAGAUCCUUUUGAAGUUAAAAAGUCGGUACCAAAAGGAGAUCGACCAGUGGGAACUUUUGUCGAGCACCUUGCAUGCGAUGCAAGAGAGAGCGAACCAGCAACUUGAAUUGCAAACACGUCAGCAAGAUGUGCGAGAAAUGGCGUCGUCUUCUUUGGGAUCGCCUUCGACAAACAUGGAGGGAUCUUCUGAGUCACUAAUCGAUAAACUCCUUUCGCAGGUAAUUUGGGUUUUUGAAAUUUUGGCAAAUGGUUCUGAAAUGUUAGUUUUAGAUGUCUCCGCUUGGAUGUUUCAUUCUGGACUUGGAAAAAGAUACGCUGAGCUGUUAAUGCCUAACGGGAGAAACCGGAUUACUUUAAUGAAGCUUUCACUGAUUAUUAGAUUCUAUUUGAAUUCUGCUUGCUGUAUUUUGAUUUUUAACGUGGAGUUGAUUGAGAAGCAAUCGUGUUUUAUGGAUUUAAAAGAUUGGGUUUUUAUGGGAGGAUUUCACUUCUUGUGAAUUUACUGUCAAAUCUGCUUAUCAGUGGUUCAUUCAACAAGAUUUUGGGCUUCUAAAAGUGGGUGGCUUUAGAUCUGGAAGUUGGAAGUUACGUAGAAGUUCAAGAACAUACGGAUUUUGCUACUUGCACAAGGAGAAAGAGAAAAAAGAAAUCGUUAAGAAUAAAUGUUUGUAAUUGGUAAAUUUGAUGCAUUCUGUGGAAGAAUAAAGAUGUCAUUCAGAAUUCCGUUGUUUCUUUAGAAAUUCAAUUGCAGUAACUUUGCUUCGAGCCUAAUAUUUAAUCUUUCAUUGGCUUUGCUGAAUUGUAAAUCAUACACAAACAAGGUGCUUUGAUUGAAAGUAUAGUUUUGAGUUCUAUUUUGACUCUAUAUCAUUCUUGAAAUUGCAGGCAGAGGAACAAGAAGCGGUAAUCCAUGAUGUGUCAUGCUUAUGUGAUAUAGCAGAAGCAAUGUGCAAUGCUCAACAGGAGUGGUUGGCACAAUCAUAUAUUGAUCUUCCAGUUUGGUCUUCACCUCGUAAGCUUAUGGCAUCACUUUGUGAUGAGUAAGUUUGUUUGAAGUAAUUAUCAUCAUAUCUCUUGAAGGAAACUUGUAAAGUAGUGUCUUGCAAUAGUUUAAUUCUUAUUUAGCUGAAUAGUGAUGUGAAUGCUUGUAGAAGAUUUGAUUGUAAUAUGUUUUGUUGUAGAUUUCUUCCUUUGAAUGAAAGUUCAAAGUUUUUAUAGUUGUUAAUGUUUUCUG
rnacentral:misc_RNA from 1 species